rnacentral:lncRNA from 1 species
AAAGUUGUCGGAAUUGAAAAAUAAAAAUAUGGAUAGGCUCGGAAUUCAAGGGCGAGCAGACUGUCCUGAAGAAGUUCUGGCCGGAAAGUACUGUAGCUGCCGGAAAAGUCACUGUAGUCGCCGGAAAAAACUCAAAGUUGUCGGAAUCGAACGAAAAUAGGAUGGGUAGGGUCAGAAUUAAUAGCCGACCAAACUGUACUGAAGGAGUCACCGGAAAAAAUGGCCGGAAAUAGGGUCACG